rnacentral:rRNA from 1 species
ACGCUGGCGGCAGGCCUAACACAUGCAAGUCGAGCGGUAGAGAGAAGCUUGCUUCUCUUGAGAGCGGCGGACGGGUGAGUAAUGCCUAGGAAUCUGCCUGGUAGUGGGGGAUAACGUUCGGAAACGGACGCUAAUACCGCAUACGUCCUACGGGAGGAAGCAGGGGACCUUCGGGCCUUGCGCUAUCAGAUGAGCCUAGGUCGGAUUAGCUAGUUGGUGAGGUAAUGGCUCACCAAGGCGACGAUCCGUAACUGGUCUGAGAGGAUGAUCAGUCACACUGGAACUGAGACACGGUCCAGACUCCUACGGGAGGCAGCAGUGGGGAAUAUUGGACAAUGGGCGAAAGCCUGAUCCAGCCAUGCCGCGUGUGUGAAGAAGGUCUUCGGAUUGUAAAGCACUUUAAGUUGGGAGGAAGGGUUGUAGAUUAAUACUCUGCAAUUUUGACGUUACCGACAGAAUAAGCACCGGCUAACUCUGUGCCAGCAGCCGCGGUAAUACAGAGGGUGCAAGCGUUAAUCGGAAUUACUGGGCGUAAAGCGCGCGUAGGUGGUUUGUUAAGUUGGAUGUGAAAUCCCCGGGCUCAACCUGGGAACUGCAUUCAAAACUGACUGACUAGAGUAUGGUAGAGGGUGGUGGAAUUUCCUGUGUAGCGGUGAAAUGCGUAGAUAUAGGAAGGAACACCAGUGGCGAAGGCGACCACCUGGACUAAUACUGACACUGAGGUGCGAAAGCGUGGGGAGCAAAC